AUGGGGUUAUGGGGAUUAAUGGGGUCAAUGGGGAUCAAUGGGGUUAUGGGGCUAUGGGUGAUGGGGUUAUGGGGCUAUGGGGUCAAUGGGGAUUAAUGGGGUGGCCCCAUAGGACGUCCCCAAGACCCCAUAGAUCACCCGUAGACCACAUAAAAUGUCCCCAAGAAGCCAUAGACCCCAUAGGAUGCCCCCAGACCCCACAUAUCCCCCCAUAGACCCCAUAGGAUGCCCCCGAGACCCCAUAGGAUGCCCCCAGACCCCACAUAUCCCCUCAUAGACCCCAUAGGAUGCCCCCAGACCCCACAUAUCCCCCCCUAGACCCCAUAGGAUGCCCCCGAGACCCCAUAGGAUGCCCCCAGACCCCACAUAUCACCCCAUAGAUGCAAUAGGAUGUCCCCAGACCCCAUAGAAUGUCCCCAGACCCCACGUAUCUCCCCAUAGACCCCAUAGGAUGUCCCCAAGACACCAUAGAUCACCCCCAUAGACCCCAUAGGAUGUCCCUGAGACCCCAUAUGGUGCUGCUGAGACCCCAUAGAACCCCAUAGAGGUGACAGUGGGACCCCAUGGAGUGCCACCAACCCCACAGAGGUGACAAUGGGACCCCAUAUUGGUGACAACGUGACCCCAUAGAGUGCCACCAACCCCACAGAGGUGACAAUGGGACCCCAUGGAGUGCCACCAACCC
rnacentral:lncRNA from 1 species